rnacentral:tRNA from 2 species
GGAGAGGUGACCGAGUGGUCGAAGGUGCACGCCUGGAGAGCGUGUGUAGGGGCAACUCUACCGUGGGUUCGAAUCCCACCCUCUCCGCCA